UACAGAGGGGGCAAGCGUUGUCCGGAUUUACUGGGCGUACAGCGCGCGCAGGCGGUUGCGUAUGUGAGCGGUGACAUCCGCGGGCUCAACCCGCGGCGGCCCGCUUACACAGCGCGACUGGAGGCAGGGAGAGGGAUGUGGAAUACCCGGUGGAGCGGUGAAAUGCGUAGAGAUCGGGUGGAACACCAGCGGCGAAGGCGGCAUCCUGGCCCUGUACUGACGCUGAGGCGCGAUAGCGUGGGGAGCAAAC
rnacentral:rRNA from 1 species